GUGUAGGAUGUGUUGUAGGCAACACAAAACAUUGUUUAGUUAUGGGCCCCUGGGGUGGAGCAUUUGGAGAGAAGGGUGGGCCAAUUCUCCACUCCACAGUUUAGUGGUUUUCUGGGGAGACAUGGAUCCAGGCAAGGGUUUUUUGGAUCGUCUCCAACCCACUGCUCAGCUGCAGUUAAUGAGCUGUUGCAGUGGGAAUAAACUCCUCCCUGCUAGGCAG